UUGAGCUGUAUGCGGGGACAACUCGCACGUACAGUUCUUAGGGGGCCCUUUUUCCGUGAGGAGAGGGGGCUACCCUCC
rnacentral:ncRNA from 1 species